UGAACAUGCAGAGAACACACAGGAAAUGUCAUCUCUGUUCACAGACUUUUGCAUUAAAGGAUUUCCAAAGACAGCAGGAAAUUUAUGGCUCCGUUCUAUAGAGAGGAAAACCGAGGAUCUUGUGAGUUGGUGGUGGGCACCCAGCUGUGGGAGACAGAACCCACCUUCCCCUCCUCGUCAUCCCUCCAGAGAACAAAUGCUGCUCACGUCACCCCGAGUAACUGAGCCCUUAAAGCCUGAGAGCCCAUCUGCAGAGCCAAACUGCUUGACGGUGUCUCAGCAAGUCUAAAACAGCCCCUGUAUCUCUUGGUGAGUUUGGAAGAUGUCAGCAUAAGGUAUGAUCUUCUCUAUUCCCCGCAGUGCACAGCUUUGGGAGAGGAAUUGCAUACAAUUCUGCAGGCACUAAACUUAAUCCUUUGCUCCUACACAAUGAACAGGUUCUUUAGAGUUGUACGCAGUCUGGUGUUGGACCAGAGCAAAAAAAAAAAAGCUGAAUGAUUCACGAGAGAAUCAUUCUGGGAGACCUUUGCUCUCCUGCUGCAGACCGGGACAGGAGCACCCUGACUGCCGGCAAGUUUGUUCUCCAAAAGGUCACUGAAGAGGUUCACAGCGAUUAAUACAUAUGUAUUCAAGGCUAAGUCGGCCAGUGCCAGGCGUUAUCUGGCCUCAGGUGUCACAAGAGCAAUGGCUUUGCUUUCCCUCAUCCCGAGAGGUGCUGAGCCGCCCUGGGCUGGCGGGGGGUGACAGCAGGUUUCCCUCCCACAGGACCCUGGCACGGGGAGGGACUGCUUCUAUAAAGGUUGCAGUAAAGCACCUGUAGCUGCAUUUGAUUAAAAGUUGUAUUAGCGCUUAGCUCUUGCGUGGCGUUUGCCAUCCUGAGACUUGAAGUGAUCGACGCAAUCAAACCCUGCUUAGCGCGUAAGGAAGCGACUGGCUGAAGGUCAUGCAGAGCCUCAGGGGAGGACAAGGAUUAGACCAAGCUCUUUGGCUGAAAAUACCACGGAAAAUGUUCCUCUUCUUCCCCUCCCAAGCUUUUCCUUCUAAUCCUGUUUCUCUGGGUCUGCAGUCGGAAGGGGACUCUUCUGUGCCACCCUCCCCAGCUUCCCGCUAAUCUACUGAUGUAAUCAUGGUGACGAAUGUCUUUUUGGAUCUUCCCUUCUGAUCUGAGAGGCGUUUCUGCUGUGCACCCCCCAGGCCUAAGGCAGUAGGUGAGUCAGGGACAGACAAUUCUCCCAAACCUCCAAGUUCAGGAGCACACUGGACAAGACGGGGGAAGUACAGCUCCUUCC
rnacentral:lncRNA from 1 species